rnacentral:rRNA from 1 species
GAUGAACGCUGGCGGCGUGCCUAAUACAUGCAAGUCGAGCGAACAGACGAGGAGCUUGCUCCUCUGACGUUAGCGGCGGACGGGUGAGUAACACGUGGAUAACCUACCUAUAAGACUGGGAUAACUUCGGGAAACCGGAGCUAAUACCGGAUAAUAUAUUGAACCGCAUGGUUCAAUAGUGAAAGACGGUUUUGCUGUCACUUAUAGAUGGAUCCGCGCCGCAUUAGCUAGUUGGUAAGGUAACGGCUUACCAAGGCAACGAUGCGUAGCCGACCUGAGAGGGUGGACGGCCACACGGGAACUGAGACACGGUACAGACACCUACGGGAGGCAGCAGUAGGGAAUCUUCCGCAAAGGGCGAAAGCCUGACAGAGCAACGCCGCGUGAGUGAUGAAGGUCUUCGGAUCGUAAAACUCUGUUAUUAGGGAAGAACAAAUGUGUAAGUAACUAUGCACGUCUUGACGGUACCUAAUCAGAAAGCCACGGCUAACUACGUG